rnacentral:rRNA from 1 species
UAGGGAAUCUUCCACAAUGGACGCAAGUCUGAUGGAGCAACGCCGCGUGAGUGAAGAAGGUCUUCGGAUCGUAAAACUCUGUUGUUAGAGAAGAACACGAGUGAGAGUAACUGUUCAUUCGAUGACGGUAUCUAACCAGCAAGUCACGGCUAACUACGAGCCAG